AUUCUUUUAAGUGUAAUUGGGAACUCUCUCCUUCCUUUGUUAAUAAUAAAAAAGCAACUGUUCUCUAGUGGACGUAGGAUUAUUUUGAUCCGAACCACGUUAAAUCUUGUGUUCUUUCUUUUACGUUUCCGCUAACAUGUGGUGAUCAACUUUUCUUGUUUUAGACAGCAAAGAUACUGUGAUUUACACUCCAUUAUUGAAGUUUGUGACGAACGACUUUUCAUGAUUCCAUUUGUCCAUGUUGUGAAUAUGCAUCGUCGUGCAAUAAAGUUGUUCUUUUAUGCAUAGUAGUUGUCAUGGCUUAGCUUGUUGCUGAGCAGGCUAUUAUUCCGAAAACAUGAAAAAUAUUGUUCUUUGCUAGUUAGUAUGACAUAAGGACUAGUCACUAUAUUUAAUCAAGAGGCAGCAUAACACAGGGUAGGCAUUGAUGAUUCCUAUUUAAACUGGGGAGGGGUGACGGAUUAACACUUGUUAACUAACCUAAAUGUUAUAUUAGCUGCACGUGCGGAGUUCUUCAUCCUCUUGCUAUUCAUCACGAUCCUUUCCCUAAUGGAAAUUUCCUUUCAUAUUUUCAUGUGGUUUCAGGUAUGCAACAACAAAAGCUUUCAUCGUAGCCUUCCUGAUGACCUUCUGCUCUAUAUUUGAUGUCCCAGUAUUCUGGCCAAUAUUGUUAUGUUACUGGAUUUUUCUCUUUGUCCUCACUAUGAAGCGUCAGAUCACACACAUGAUUAGAUACAAGUAUGAUCCAUUCAACAUUGGGAAAAAGAAGCAUACUGGGAAUAAAUCUGAUUGAGGCAGUAGUAGCUUCACGGGGAGCUAAUGUCAGGAGUGAUUUUUGAUAUCUUGCCAAGGGUAGUGAAUGUCCCCUUCUUUGUUUUGAGAAACUUACUGUAAAUAUUCUUUUUCUUGAACAUGUAUCCCAUGCAUAUGUAAAUGUUGCGAAGUAUGUAGAUUUGCUUCCUGCAGAUGUAAAAGCAAGUGUAGAGAGUUACCAUGAACUCUUUUUUUGGUUUCCUUUUGAUUUCUUACAAGGAUUCAGGUAUUUGGGAGGAUAGGGAACUUUGUUAUUAUCACCAUUGCACCUAUUGAGUUACUGCA